AAGAAGCAAACAAACAUUAUAAAUCCCAAAAUAUUUGGUGUUGCUAUAUUCUGUUGUUAAGGCAGAAUGGGUGAUUCUCAACAAGGUUCAAAAAAGGAAGAUCUCGCAGACCUUGCGGGGUAUGGUGAAGUCUAUGAGAGGUCUCCUGAAGCUUCUUCAAGCUCAAAAGAGAGCAAGAAAUCAACUCUUGAAGAGAACGCUGGUCAUGGUGAAACUCAUGAAACCACUGAAACUUCAAACUCAAACGAAAGCAAGAAAACAACUCUCGAAGGGCAUGCUGGCCAUGGCCGAAAGUAAAUAAUUACAACUCAUUCAUAUAUAUGCCAGGUUAACGAAGCUGAUGGAAGAAUGUUGGAAGGAAUAUCAAGUUAUUUGAAGUCUUUUAUUUUAUUUACUUCUUUUAAAUUUCUGGUUUAAAUAUAUGUAAGUUAUUGUCUCCAGGCUUAUUAAGUAGUUCGGUUGGACGAAAAAAAAUAUUAAGUAGUUUGAAACUGUCACCCGUUCUUGUUUAAUGUUUAUGCUUGUGUACUCGCAUCAUUUCUAUGCAUAAAUAAAAUAAAUUAUUUGACUAAGAUAA